UGGAAGAUGGAGUGUCCUUUGGGAGUUGGCCUCAGUUUCCUCUUCAGUCAAAUGAGCUAGAGAAGGAAAUGGCAAACCAUUCCAGUAUCUUUGUCAGGAAAACACCGAAUGGGGUCAUGAAGAGUCAGAUAUGACUGAACAACAAAUUUCUGCCUCCUUAUCUGGUCAUUUUGUUUCUGUUUUACAUUGCCUGCUAGGAAAAUAAGUCAUUCUUGACUAUUCCUUAAAGCAUCAUCUGAACUUCGGAGGACCUUCCGAGGAGGUUUGAUGGAUAGUGCUGAACUUGGAGAGAGGAAGGUAUAAAUCCAGAUCCUGCAUCAGACAUUCACUAGCUGUGUGACCCUAGGUCAGUCCUACUCUUUUCCGGACCCUAAUCUUCUCUGCCUGCUGAUGUCAUCAGAUGAAAUGGACUUUCUUGGAGUAAGUGCAGCUUUUCAGAGAAGGAGACCUCUUCAGAACUAAUCUCUCCAGAAGCCAGGAAGGGAAGGCCAGCUACUCACUCACUCACGAUGAAGUCCAAAGGAGAAGAUUCAGGAGCAGUCCUUCAAGAAGCAGUCCAAGAACCAAGGUCCCAAGUUGAAGCUGGGGUCCAAGUCCAAAGCCACCUCUAA
rnacentral:lncRNA from 1 species